rnacentral:rRNA from 1 species
CUACGGGGGGCUCCAGUGGGGAAUAUUGCACAAUGGAGGGAACUCUGAUGCAGCAACGCCGCGUGGAGGAUGACACAUUUCGGUGCGUAAACUCCUUUUAUAUAAGAAGAUAAUGACGGUAUUAUAUGAAUAAGCACCGGCUAACUCCGUGCCAGCAGCCGCGGUAAUACGGGGGGUGCAAGCGUUACUCGGAAUCACUGGGCGUAAAGAGCAUGUAGGCUGGUUUGUAAGUUGGAAGUGAAAUCCUAUGGCUUAACCAUAGAACUGCUUCCAAAACUACUUACCUAGAGUAUGGGAGAGGUAGAUGGAAUUUCUGGUGUAGGGGUAAAAUCCGUAGAGAUCAGAAGGAAUACCGAUUGCGAAGGCGAUCUACUGGAACAUUGCUGACGCUCAGAUGCGAAAGCGUAGGGAGCAAACAGGAUUAGAUACCCUCGUAGUC